rnacentral:rRNA from 1 species
UACGAAGGGUGCAAGCGUUACUCGGAAUUACUGGGCGUAAAGCGUGCGUAGGUGGUUCGUUAAGUCUGAUGUGAAAGCCCUGGGCUCAACCUGGGAAUGGCAUUGGAAACUGGCGACCUAGAGUGCGGUAGAGGGUAGUGGAAUUCCCGGUGUAGCAGUGAAAUGCGUAGAGAUCGGGAGGAACAUCCGUGGCGAAGGCGACUACCUGGCCUGUUCUUGACGCUGAGGCGCGAAAGCUAGGGGAGCAAACAGG